rnacentral:rRNA from 1 species
GACGACGCUGGCGGCGUGCCUAAUACAUGCAAGUAGAACGAGUUGCGAACGGGUGAGUAACGCGUGGUAACCUGCCUCAUAGCGGGGGAUAACUAUUGGAAACGAUAGCUAAUACCGCAUCCCAUCAGAUGUUCCCAGAUGGGAUUAGCUAGUGGGUGGGGUAACGGCUCACCUGGGCGACGAUCCCUAGCUGGUCUGAGAGGAUGACCAGCAACACUGGAACUGAGACACGGUCCAGACGCCUACGGGAGGCAGCAGUGGGAAAUAUGGCACAAUGGGCGAAAGCCUGAGGCAGCCAUGCCGCGUGUAUGAAGAAGGCCGUCGGGUUGUAAAGUACUUUCAGCGGGGAGGCGUUACCCGCAGAAGAAGCACCGGCUAACUCCGUGCCAGCCGCCGCGGUAAUAC